rnacentral:rRNA from 1 species
UACGUAGGGUGCGAGCGUUGUCCGGAAUUACUGGGCGUAAAGAGCUCGUAGGUGGUUUGUCGCGUUGUUCGUGAAAUCUCACGGCUUAACUGUGAGCGUGCGGGCGAUACGGGCAGACUAGAGUCCGGAAGAGGAGAGUGGAAUUCCUGGUGUAGCGGUGAAAUGCGCAGAUAUCAGGAAGAACACCCGUGGCUAAGGCGGCUCACUGGCCCGAUACUGACGCUGAGGCACGAAAGCGUGGGGAGCAAACAGG